rnacentral:lncRNA from 1 species
UCUCGGCGCAGCGCCCCGCAGCGCCCCGGGACUCGGCGCCCUGCUGCCAGGCGCUCAGUGCGCGGGACGGGGCCGGGGCAUCGGGCGAAGCGAGCCGCUCGGGAGGCGGGACGCGGGGGCGCGGCUGCGGUGCCUGGGAGAGGGGAGCCCUCAGCGGGGCAGCCGGGGCCGGGAGAGCGGGCGCAGCGCGGCGGGGAUCGGAGCCGCGGGCGCCGGGAAAGGUCCUCGCCAGGAGGGGAGGGAACUCCGGGAGCGCGAGCCAGGGGGAGGCGCGUCGGAAAGCGAGAGUGACAAGCAGCCUACAAGCCGAAAAGUUCCUCGCGGGAGGCGCGCGCCGCGUGGGCUCCGACUCAGCCGCUGCGCGUCGCCGUGGCACACAGGCUGAAAAGUUUGCGAAGCCACAGAAGCCAGGCCCGGCGCUCAGGGGGCCUUGAUCCUGUUCCCAUGGCCCCAGACCACCCCUCAGGAACCCUUAGAGCAGAUCUCUUAACUUUGGAGGGGAAGGACGACGGAGGCUGGGUUCCUACACUGAAAGUUUUAAAUUUGUAAAGCCUGCUGGCAGCCCGGGAGAGCAAAUGUCUGCAAAGAACAUCUUCUGGGCAGCUGAAAGCCCUUGCUAAUGUCAGUAAUAAGGAUCCAGAGAAAGAAAUGGCAUUGAUAAAGAUCAUCAGGUGAUCCCACCUGAAUCUGCAGCUGGCCUCGUCAACUAGGUGGGAAUCCACCCAACCUGAGACCGAAUGUUUUGCUUUAUGACUGCUGUCUUCAUCUUUGCCAAAUUAAAUUAGCACUUCUUUCCA